GUUCUUUCUCUGGAUCUGUGCUUAUUGGGAUAAGAUAGAGGGAUUGAAGGAACAAGACUUACUUUUAUGUUACAUCCAUUAACAAGGGACUGUUUGACAGGAAAAGACUUUCUCAGAAGACUGGUCACUAGAUGAUUGAAGCAUGGUCUUCAGGAGGACCUAUCACAGUGGCUGUUCCAUCCAUUGUCUAAAUCAUGGUUUCCAUGACAGCAUUUUAGUUGUAGUUUGCCACUGGAAUGUGGCAGUGAUGUUGAGUUUGCUAAACAAUGUUAACCUGCUUGUUUGACAUUGGUCUGGAGAUGCUUGGCCCCUUUCUUUUCUGUCUAUGUCCUAGUUUCCUAUAGUUUAAAAGUAUGGUAUUUAGGGUUGGAGGCAGUAAGAUCAUAGUGGAAGCUAUGAGAUUGGUUGAUCUAGAAAAGAGUGAGGAAUGAGUGACUUCAUGAACCCUUACUCACAACUACAAGUAGAUUGAUCCAUAGAUACUCAGAAUCUUUCCAGCAAGGAUGGGCAAGGCCUGGUACCAUCAGAAUGGUAGAGACUGUUCUCUGUCACAUGUUAAGCUAAUGGAGAGCUAACCAGGAGAUGGGCAGAGGAAUCCCUAUGACAUCAAUCACAAUCACAGGUUCUCCUCUAGGACUUUGUCAUCUCAGAAACAUGGGCCAAAUGCUGCUGGGAAGAAGGAGGUGGGAAGGAUUUGGCCCCAGCCAUGUGCACUGGUGGAAUGGGGGCCGGCAGGGCCUGUGAUCAAGCAUGGUGUCAUCGUGCCUUUUCAGAGGAAGGCUCCUAAGCCUCUUCCCCAUGGGGAUUGCAUCAGCUGAGGAGGCUGCUCAUUCUCGGCAGAAACCACUCCCCCACCCCCCCAC
rnacentral:lncRNA from 1 species